GUGACAAUGGAGGAUCGCCGCCAA
rnacentral:siRNA from 1 species